UGGGGAAUAUUGCACAAUGGAGGGAACUCUGAUGCAGCGACGCCGCGUGAACGAAGAAGGCUUUCGAGUCGUAAAGUUCUUUUAUAUGGGAAGAUAAUGACGGUACCAUAAGAAAAAGCCCCGGCUAACUACGUGCCAGCAGCCGCGGUAAUACGUAGGGGGCUAGCGUUGUCCGGAAUCACUGGGCGUAAAGGGUUCGCAGGCGGAAAUGCAAGUCAGGUGUAAAAGGCAGUAGCUUAACUACUGUAAGCAUUUGAAACUGCAUAUCUUGGGAAGAGUAGAGGUAAGUGGAAUUUUUAGUGUAGCGGUGAAAUGCGUAGAUAUUAAAAAGAAUACCGGUGGCGAAGUCGACUUACUGGGCUCAUUCUGACGCUGAGGAACGAAAGCGUGGGUAGCAAACAGG
rnacentral:rRNA from 1 species